rnacentral:rRNA from 1 species
AAUAGAUACCCGGGUAGUCCACGCCGUAAACGAUGAGUGCUAAGUGUUAGAGGGUUUCCGCCCUUUAGUGCUGAAGUUAACGCAUUAAGCACUCCGCCUGGGGAGUACGGCCGCAAGGCUGAAACUCAAAGGAAUUGACGGGGGCCCGCACAAGCGGUGGAGCAUGUGGUUUAAUUCGAAGCAACGCGAAGAACCUUACCAGGUCUUGACAUCCUCUGACAACCCUAGAGAUAGGGCUUCUCCUUCGGGAGCAGAGUGACAGGUGGUGCAUGGUUGUCGUCAGCUCGUGUCGUGAGAUGUUGGGUUAAGUCCCGCAACGAGCGCAACCCUUGAUCUUAGUUGCCAUCAUUAAGUUGGGCACUCUAAGGUGACUGCCGGUGACAAACCGGAGGAAGGUGGGGAUGACGUCAAAUCAUCAUGCCCCUUAUGACCUGGGCUACACACGUGCUACAAUGGACGGUACAAAGAGCUGCAAGACCGCGAGGUGGAGCUAAUCUCAUAAAACCCGUUCUCAGUUCGGA